rnacentral:tRNA from 2 species
ACUAUUUUGGCAGAAGUAAGUGUAACAGAUUUAGAAUCUGUAAAUAUAAUUGAUAAUUAUAGAUAGUA